GAAAGGAGAGAAGUAAUGUGAAUUGCAGAAUUCCGUGAAUCAUCGAAUCUUUGAACGCACAUUGCGCCCUCUGGUAUUCCGGGGGGCAUGCCUGUCCGAGCGUCAUUGCGAACCCCUCAAGCACGGCUUGUGUGAUGGGCCCUCCCGCGUCUUGGUCGUCAAGACGGGCCCGAAAUGCAGUGGCGGCUUCGCGGUUAUCCGAUCAGCCAGAGCGUAUGGGGACUUUCUCUCUGUCACACGCCCGCGGCGCGGACCGACGCCUGUCGACCUUUAUUCAUCUUUUUCUCGGUUGACCUCGGAUCAGGUAGGGAUACCCGCUGAACUUAAGC
rnacentral:misc_RNA from 1 species